rnacentral:rRNA from 1 species
CUGCUGCCUCCCGUAGGAGUUUGGGCCGUGUCUCAGUCCCAAUGUGGCCGUCCACCCUCUCAGGCCGACUACUGAUCGUCGCCUUGGUGGGCCGUUACCCCGCCAACAAGCUAAUCAGACGCGGGUCCAUCUUACACCACCGGAGUUUUUCACACAAAUCCAUGCGGCUUCGUGCGCUUAUGCGGUAUUAGCACCUAUUUCUAAGUGUUAUCCCCCAGUGUAAGGCAGGUUACCCACGCGUUACUCACCCGUCCGCCACUAAGUA